UUCCUCUCAGGAUCACAACUGGAGAGUUUCCAAUACUCUACCAGUUUCGACUAUGGGAGGGAGAAUCAAGCAGAAGCAUACCCAUUCCAUUCCUAGCUUCGGCAGUGGCUAGCGAGUGGAAGGCAAUCUGCUAGAAGU